rnacentral:lncRNA from 1 species
AGCAGCUCAAAUGUGAAAAACAAGACCCAGAGAGGGGAAAUCAUUUGAAUCCUGUCCUGGUAUUGCUUUGUGUUCCUGGAUUUGGAGAAUUUCUGGGAACACAGGAAAAGGAAAGUGAAUGCCACCAGGAUCUGAACCCAAGAUUCCAGCCUCGGUCACCACCCUGACCCUGAGAAUGCCACUGGGAUGGGGAGAACUUGUCAGUCUUCAUCCUUCCCCACAAGUAUACUGAAGCCAGGACAGUCUUAGGCCCCUGCUGCCCUCCUGGCUCUCAGUGGAGAGAAAAGAGGAAAUAAAUUUGGACCCAGCCUUGAGAUCCUGGAAGAGCUCCUUUGGAUUUAGCCUUGGGAUCCUAGCAUCUCCUCACAAAAUUAUGAUCUUCCCUGGGCAUCUCUAAGCCACCAAUUGGGUUGCCUGCACCUGAGCAAAUACAGCAAGCACCUGCCUUAGAGAGCUCUUAGAGGGAUUAUCCGCAGCCUGAAGAAAGAAGGUUACAACUGAGGAAGAACUUCUGAACAGGGAAGAGUGGAAGAAAAGACUGCAGUACGUAGAGCAUCAAGGGAAGCUGUGGAAAUAUAUUUUCUUA